rnacentral:tRNA from 1 species
AAGAAAUUAGUUAAUCAAUAACACUACUUUGUCGGGGUAAAAUCAUGAGCUAAGGCCUCAUAUUUCUUU